UACGUAGGGGGCUAGCGUUGUCCGGAAUCAUUGGGCGUAAAGAGCGUGUAGGCGGUUCGGUAAGUCGGCUGUGAAAGUCCAGGGCUCAACCCUGGGAUGCCGGUCGAUACUGCCGGACUAGAGUUCGGAAGAGGCGAGUGGAAUUCCCGGUGUAGCGGUGAAAUGCGCAGAUAUCGGGAGGAGCACCUAUGGCGAAGGCAGCUCGCUGGGACGUUACUGACGCUGAGACGCGAAAGCGUGGGGAGCGAACAGG
rnacentral:rRNA from 1 species